rnacentral:rRNA from 1 species
GAGUUUGAUCGUGGCUCAGAUUGAACGCUGGCGGCAGGCCUAACACAUGCAAGUCGAGCGGUAGAGAGAAGCUUGCUUCUCUUGAGAGCGGCGGACGGGUGAGUAAUGCCUAGGAAUCUGCCUGGUAGUGGGGGGAUAACGCUCGGAAACGGACGCUAAUACCGCAUACGUCCUACGGGAGAAAGCAGGGGACCUUCGGGCCUUGCGCUAUCAGAUGAGCCUAGGUCGGAUUAGCUAGUUGGUGAGGUAAUGGCUCACCAAGGCGACGAUCCGUAACUGGUCUGAGAGGAUGAUCAGUCACACUGGAACUGAGACACGGUCCAGACUCCUACGGGAGGCAGCAGUGGGGGAAUAUUGGACAAUGGGCGAAAGCCUGAUCCAGCCAUGCCGCGUGUGUGAAGAAGGUCUUCGGAUUGUAAAGCACUUUAAGUUGGGAGGAAGGGCAGUAAAUUAAUACUUUGCUGUUUGACGUUACCGACAGAAUAAGACACCGGCUAACUCUGUGCC